rnacentral:rRNA from 1 species
AAGUCGUAACAAGGUCUCCGUAGGUGAACCUGCGGAGGGAUCAUUACCGAGAGAGGGCGCCUCGCGCGCCCGACCUCCCAACCCUUUGCCGACCGUACCGCGUUGCCUCGGGGUGGCUCUCGCGAGCGCCCCAGAGGACGUCAACCAAACUCUUGCGUCUUUGCGUCGGAGUAUCAAUUUUGAAUCAAUCAAAACUUUCAACAACGGAUCUCUUGGUUCUGGCAUCGAUGAAGAACGCAGCGAAAUGCGAUAAGUAAUGUGAAUUGCAGAAUUCAGUGAAUCAUCGAAUCUUUGAACGCACAUUGCGCCCUUUGGCAUUCCGAGGGGCAUGCCCGUUCGAGCGUCAUUACGCCACUCAAGCCUGGCUUGGUAUUGGGCGACAGGUCUCACCCGCGCCUCCAUUUUCUACCGGCUGGACGGUUGGAAUCUCAGCGUUGUGAAUCAAUUCGCUGCGAGACCCGACCGGACGCGCCGUUAAACUCUCAUCAAAGGUUGACCUCGGAUCGGGUAGGGAUACCCGCUGAACUUAA